AGUGAACGCUGGCGGUAGGCCUAACACAUGCAAGUCGAACGGCAGCACAGUAAGAGCUUGCUCUUACGGGUGGCGAGUGGCGGACGGGUGAGGAAUACAUCGGAAUCUACUUUUUUGUGGGGGAUAACGUAGGGAAACUUACGCUAAUACCGCAUACGACCUACGGGUGAAAGCAGGGGAACUUCGGACCUUGCGCGAUUGAAUGAGCCGAUGUCGGAUUAGCUAGUUGGCGGGGUAAAGGCCCACCACGGCGACGAUCCGUAGCUGGUCUGAGAGGAUGAUCAGCCACACUGGAACUGAGACACGGUCCAGACUCCUACGGGAGGCAGCAGUGGGGAAUAUUGGACAAUGGGCGCAAGCCUGAUCCAGCCAUACCGCGUGGGUGAAGAAGGCCUUCGGGUUGUAAAGCCCUUUUGUUGGGAAAGAAAAGCAGCAGGUUAAUACCCCGCUGUUCUGACGGUACCCAAAGAAUAAGCACCGGCUAACUUCGUG
rnacentral:rRNA from 1 species